rnacentral:lncRNA from 1 species
UUUCUUUUACCAAAAACAAUAUUAUUUUUGAUCCCAAAUGUCUGAAGCUUCUGAAAGGAUAUAUUUGGGAGCUUUAAGAAAUUAAAGGAUUAGACAAGAGUUUAAGUGGGCUGGUGGAAGAAGGGAGAAAGUUAACUCAACCUUUAAGGCUGUGAUUAUGCUCACAUCGAAUAGCAUUAAUUUACCUAAACUAAUAACACUCAAAUCAAGCCAUGACAGCAGUCCUCUAGCACCAGUCGAAAAUACAGUUUGAAGAUGUGUUAUGUACAUGUACCAACUCCCCACGAGAAAUGUAACAUUAGGUGUUGCAAACAGGUGAGUGGAUUUGCUCUGAAACACCCUUCUGCCAUGAAGUUCCACCACAAACCAAAAGCAAGAAUGCCAACUGACCAUGGACUGAAAGCUACAAAACCUCAAGCCAAAAUAAAUCUUUCUAUAAGCUGAUUACCUCAGGUGUACAGUGAAGCUUUUUGAGGCUACAUGAGGGGAUCGAACGCGGGACCUUGCGCUUGCCAGGCCGGCGCCAGAACCACUGAGCUAAAUCCCCG